CACGUAGGGGGCAAGCGUUGUCCGGAUUUAUUGGGCGUAAAGAGCUCGUAGGCGGUUCGCUAAGUCGGGUGUGAAAACUCUGGGCUCAACUCAGAGACGCCACCCGAUACUGGCGUGACUCGAGUCCGGUAGGGGAGCAUGGAAUUCCUGGUGUAGCGGUGAAAUGCGUAGAUAUCGGAAGGAACACCUGUGGCGAAAGCGGCUCACUGGACCAUAACUGACGCUGAGGCACGAAAGCUAGGGGAGCAAACAGG
rnacentral:rRNA from 1 species